rnacentral:lncRNA from 1 species
AAACCUUUUUUCAAGUUCUCUGAUAGAAUUGGUGGAAAUUCUUCUGAGCUCCAUGAUCUCGGAAGUUCAUCUUGGAAGUUCAUCUGAGCUCCAUGAUCAUUCUUCUCUUCCUUGAUGAAACAGGGAUGAAAAAAUAAAACUCUUGAAAGCUAUCUAGGAUUAUAGGGUAUGUACUUUUAAAAUUGUGCUGAACCUCAUGUCUCUGGAAUAGUAUGUGCUAUUUAUCUGGAAGGUAGAAUUUCUGAUUUCUUUUUGGAGUUCCCUCAAGUCACCAGAUUUUCUGGUACCUGGUCUUUAUUUUAAAUAAUUUAUAGAUAGAGAUGAAGCCUUUUUAUAAUGCAAGAGAGAGAAGCUGUAGUGAGAUUCUUAAUCCAAGUAACAGGAAACUAAAUCUCACUUUAUACUUUGAGUCACUUUGCUUAUUUUGAGCCUGACUUUGUCACAGUGAUCUCAAAUGUGACAAAUGUGCAUAUAUACACACACACUGUAGUGAGUUGGAUGGUGGACACUUAUAAGACAUGUUUUCCUGGCUCAUGACUAUGAACUUAUUUGGUAAAAUUGUCUUUGCAGAUGUAAUUAAGGAUUUUGAGUCAAAAUCAUCCUGGAUUAUCCCUAUAGGCUAUAUAUUCCCUAACACGUGUCUUAGGAGAGGCAGAAGAAGAGAAAACAGAAGGCUCUGUGAAAACAGAGGCAAACAUUGUAAUGAAUUAGCCAUAAGCCAAAGAACACUGUUUCUCUAUAUGAGAAGAGGUCUACCACAUUCAUGAUUAUUACCCUGAUAGUUUUGAAGGUCAAAGAGGAUCAUCCUGUGAUAGAAAAAAAUCUUAUAUGUGUGUAUUAUAUGUAUGCACAUAACACAUACACAUGUAUAAAUGUAUACACAUGUGUGUAUAUACACAUGUGUAUAUACACACAUGUGUGCAGGAUUAUACACAUAUGCAUGAGUAUAUGGCAUGUAUAUAUACAUAUAAAUAUUUAAAUGGUUAUUAAUAAAGAGGGCCACAAAGAAUUAAUGUACUUCACUAUUUUACCAUUGAAUUGUUAAGUUUUGGGAUAUGAUAAAUUAAUCUCCAGUGGUGAUAAAGUAUAUCACUUCUUUCAAUAAAGGCCACAGGCCACAUUGGCAUAAGAGGACCAAACCAGAAUAAUUAGUGUCGCUACUGUUGCUCAUAAAACACUCAUUUCUCUUGAAAAUCUAAUAUUCAGAGAGCUGAUAUGAAAACAGAAGUCUGUUCUUUCAUUUGUUCCCUCCAAAGUGCUUAUUACCUAUUUAGAACUUUGUGAUCUUCCCACACAGUCCGGUGAAUCACCCAGCAGAGAACCCCUCUGUUUACUUACGCACCCUGUAGCCUAAUGUGCUAUGUAAGUCAUGGAUAAUUAGUGACUCCGUCUUCCUAAAGAUACACUUGUGGUGAGCUUGGGAUCUUCCACUUAUAGAAAAAUGUUCACAUGCAGGACAAAAGUUUCCUCUGAGAAUAUUUAAAUUCUUCAUUGAACAGAGACAUAUUUAUUUGCCUUUACCUUUAAAGCAUACAUUUGAAAGGCUGCAGACAGAUUAAACAUUGCUAGAGGCUGUUUCUUGGCUGGAAAAGUGGACUGACUGGGGUGACCUCUCAGCUUGCUGAGGUCUUAUUAGAACCACUUCCCAGAGUCCACAGGAAUCAUAAGUUCUGAAUGUAAAGCAAGAAUUUGUGUGGAGACCCUCUUGUGGUCCCAUGGAGCAAGAAAAGGAAGAAUCUUUUUGAAAUUCAAGUUCAUGGACCACCAUAAGUGUUUCAAAGAUCGCAUGCAAAAAGUACUAAGUUUUAAUUGUCGGAAAGGUAAAUCAGCAUAGUGAUGUAGAAAAAUGAUGGUGGACCACCAGAAUUUUUUUUUCACAAGGUUAUUUCUCUUUUGAGAGAAAAAUCUUUUUUGGAAGUUAGAAAAAAAAAUUUUCUUCUAAUAGCACAUUCUCAUUUUUUUUUUUGGAAUUAUUAACAAAGUACUUGUGGUGGCGCACCGUAGUCACACAUAUGUCUGUGGCCCAGUUUGGAGCCAUCUCUCACAUAUGGGAAGUUUAAGAAAUAACUUUGUUGCCUGGUGUAAUUUGUAAGAAGUCCAAUUCUGGCUCUGGAAUGCACUAACAGGCCUUUGAAGGAAGGACACCUGCCCCUGGCUGGCAGCCUGGGGCAACAUGGCAUGGUCUCUUCAGUGCCAGCCUGACCACUGCUGUGUGGAUGCUGAUCACAUGAGCUGGGUUUUUCCACAGUUAAGUGGAAUGAGAACUUGUUCCUUACCACCCCAACUUUUGCUUGUACAAGUGCUGGGUUUUACCCACAUGAGCAACUCCAAACCCAAAAUGUAAGUCUCAUUUGUGGUUACUAGAAUGGAACCUGAUGGAAAAUUUGACCAUAAAUUCUAAAAAGUCAUGUGGAAAAAACAUAUAUCCUCUGGUACAGAAAUCAGAAAAUAAUUCAAAAAAUACAUCGUGUAACCAACACUUGCUUCCCUAACUUCCACAACAGCCUGACAUGGUGCAUAAAAGGGGGUGCAGGUGACAACCACCCCCACACCCACUACUGCCACCUUUCAUCUUGAAUCCCUUCAGCCCAUGGCUGUACUCAGGCCUACACCUCUCCUUCUAGGGUCCUGAGGGAGACUCCCAUUCUCUUUGACCACCUUGAAUGCUCUUCUGAGGUAGUGUGAGGCCAGUCUCUGCCUCAUCAACUCACCUCAGUGGCCCUUGCUCGCCUCAGUUUCAGAGGCCACAUUUGCUAGGGCUGGGCCAGGGCCCUUCUCACCACAGUCCUGCAUUCUCAUAAAUCUUCUGAAAGAGAAUGGCCCAGCUCCUUCACAGUGGAAGUGCCACUAGUCACCUCAAAGUCAUUCUUCCCCACCCCAAGUUCUAUAAUAAUAACAGUAGCAAUAAACAAAGAUGAUAGAUCUUUGAAGUGAACAAUUAUUGUUUCUCAAUCUUAUAAAAAAUACUUGAAAUAAUCUUUCAAAAACUUAGUUAAUUUUAUCAAAAAUAAAUAAGUCUAAAGCAAAAGUGUAUUGUUGAGAGCCACAGCCGAAGGGGCCCCAGCAAACUUCCAGCUGCCAGCUGAUGAUUGGCUCACAGUGGCCCCAGCAAACUUCCAGCUGUCAGCUGAUGAUUGGCUCACAGCGGCCCCAGCAAACUUCCAGCUGCCAGCUGAUUGGCUCCUCUUGGGUGAUGCUCAUUGGGCUGUUUCCCCCACCCUUUCAGACCAUGGAGCUGCUCAUUGGGGGACUCUUUUGGCUCCGCCCACACGACCCAGCCAAUCGGCCUCAAGAGCAGGAGGAGGGGGGUGGUUGAGAGGCUUGUGGGAAGCCCGUGGUGGCAGUUGGGCUCUGAGGGAAUUCCUGAAGAGCUCCUGUGGUGCAGCAGUGUGUGUUCUAAAAAUAAAGUUCGUUUGUGCUUGAUAAGUGGCUCCUGAAUUGUGCCCAGCCACACUGUGGCAGUGUAUGUUUGGAAUACAAAUGCCCCACAUCUCAUUUCUCAACCAGGAGAGACUUUUUUGGAAAUACUGGACCAUGUCAUGUGUCUUUCAGGGUGCCUGAUGUUUGCUUUGCCCUUUAGCUUCUUGCAAGCCAUUCUCUAAGGGAACAUGUGACUGAUCUCCUGGAGCUGGGUCAUAAGAUGAUGAGAAUGUCCCCAUACACCUCCACUCAAAGUUAGUUUUAAGUGUGAAAUUCAAACUCAGGGCUGUCAGACCGGAGUUCUGUGCUACUUUUGCCUCACCCCUCAUCUAGCCUGUGUAUGUUGCUGUUGAAAAUGAAAUCUGUUUUCCACUAUCACUUCUUUUCUUCUCUUCUUCCACAGUUUGAAAUAAGAAUGUCAUCCAAAUUGACACUUAUGGGGGCUUUAAGAGGUUAUCAGGUGAAGUGGUGGUAGGACAAGGGUUUUGGGGCCAACUCCCUACUUUCAAAUCUCUACCUUCUGCUACAAUCCAGGCAGGUGACUUAAUUCUCAGGGAGAGUAUGUAGACUACAUUAUUAUUUGGGGAGAAUAAUGGUUUAUUCACAGCUUAUUCUGUAAAACACUGAACAUAACUAUUCUUUUUUAAAAAUAUAUAUAUAUUCUCUUUUUUUAAAAUUUUUUUUAGUUUUCAAUAUACCUUUAUUUUAUUUAUAUGUAGUGUUGAGAAUUGAACCCAGUGCCUCACACAUGCUAGGCAAGUGCUCUACCACUGAGCUAUAACCCCAGCCCUCUCUCUCUCUCUCUCUCUUUUUUAAAAAUAUUUUUAUUUGUUGAUGAACACAAUAUCUUUAUUUUAUUUAUUUGUGCUGAAGAUCAAACCUAGUGCCUCCCACAUGCCAGGCCAAGUGUUCUACCACUGAGCUAUAGCCAUAGCUCUUUUUCUCUAUUUUAUGGUAGUAAAAUAUACAUAACAUAAAAUGUAACAAUUUUCACCUUUUUAAAUGUACAAUUUCAAUGGCAUUAAGUGGUACCACAAUAUAUUCUAAUACCUUCCACCACUGAUGGACAUUAAGGUGGUUUCUAAUAUUACUACCUCCCCAUUUUCCUCUCUCUUGAGAUCCUGGCUACCAUUUCUUUCUUUCAUGCUAUGAAUUUGACAUUUUAGAUACCUCAUAUAAGUGGAAUUAUGCAAGUACUUAUCUUUCUGGGAGUGGCUUAGUAUAAUGUCUUCCAGGUUUAUCCACAUCACCACAUGUUGCAAAAUUUCCUUCUUUUUAAAAACUGAAUUCUAUUCUAUUGUAUGUAUAUAACACAUUUUGCUGUAUCCAUUCAUUUGUUCAUAGACUUUUAGGUUGUUUUCAUAUCUUGGCUCUUAUGAAUAAUAUUGUGAUAAACACAAGUGCUAAUGUCCAUUCAAACUUCUCAUUUCAAUUCUUUUAGAUAAAUGCCAAAAAAAAAAAAAAGAAAUUGUUGGGCCAUUUAGUAGUUUAUUUAGAUUUUUAAGGAAUCUCCAUACUUCUUUCCAUAUUGAAUGUAUCAAUUUACAUUCCAACCAACAGUGUAAGGGUUUCCUUUUCUCUAGAUCCUAAUGCUUGUUGUUGUUGUUUUUUUUUUUCAAUAGUAAUCAUCCUAAUAGGUAUGAGGUGAUAUCUCAUUGAGGUUUUGAUUAGUGACAUUGAACAUUUUUUCAUAUGCCUCUUGGUCAUUUCUAUGUCUUUGGAAAAAUGUUCAAGUUUCUAGCUCAUUUUAAAAACUGGGUUAUUAGUUUUUUUUCUUAGUGAGUUUCAGGAGUUCCUUAUAUAUUUAGAGAUUAAUUCCUUAUUGGAUCUCUGUCUCACAAAUAUUUUCUCCCAUCCCAUAGUUUGUCUUUCCUCUCUCUAUUGUUCCUCCAUGAUUGCUCUAUUGACAUUUCUCCUCUUUUCCUUUAAAAGUUUUACAGUUUCAGGUAUUAUAUUUAUGUCUUUAAAGUACUUUGAGUUGAUCAUUUUAUGUAUGGUUUUAAGAUAGGCAUAUAAUUUCAUUCUUUUGCAUGUGGAUGGCUAGUUCCAAUACCAUUUAAAAAACUAUUAUUUCCCUAUUAUAUAUUCUUGGAAACAUUGUCAAAGGUCAGUUUACUGUAGAUGCGUGGAUUUAUUUGAGUUAUUUUAUUCCAUUGGUCAAUUGUUGGUUUAUAUGCCAGUACCAUACCAUUUUGAUUAUUACAACUUUGUAAUGCAUUUUGAAAUCAGGAAGUGUAAUGUUUCUAGCUUUGUUGUUCUUUUUCAAGAUUGAUUUGGCUACUUGUGGUCUUUUUAGUGUCAAAUGAAUCUCAGAAUUGCUUUUCUGCUUUUGUAAAAAAUGCCAUUGGAAUUUUGAUAGGGAUUACAUCAAAUCUGUAGAUCACUUUGGAUGGUAUGAACAUUUUAAUGCAAUAAAAUCUUCCAAUCCAUGACCAUGGGUUGGUUUUCCCUUUAUUUGUGUCUUCCUUAAUUUCUUUCAUUAGUGUUUUUUUGGGUUUUUUUUUUUUUUUUGGAUUUUAGUAUACAAGUCUCUCUCAUUUCCUUAGUUUAGUCUUAAGUAUUAUUUUCUUUUUUUCGCUAUUGUAAAUAAGAUUGUUUUCUCAUAGUUUGUUGUUGAUAUAUAGAAAUAAAAUGAUUUUUAUAUAUUGAUUUUAUAUUUUAUAAUUUUACUGAAUUCAUUAGUUCUAACAGUUUUUAACUGAAUUCUUUAAUGUUUGCUAUAUAUAAGACCAUGCACUCUGCAAAUAGGACAGUUUUACUUUUUUCUUCUCAAUUUGGAUGUCUAUAAUUUCUUUUUCUUGCCUAAUUGCUCUGGGACUUCCAGUACUAUGGUGAGUAAAAAUAGUGAUAGUGGGAAUUCUUAGCUCAUUCUUGGUCUUAGAGGGAAAACUUUCAGUUUAUUACUAUUCAUAUUUGAUUAGCUGUUGAUUUUAUUUAUAUGACCUUUAUUAUUUUUAGGUAUUUUCAUCCUAUUCCUAAUUUGGUUGAAAAUUUUUAUUUUGAAUGAACACUCAGUUUUGUUAAAACUUCUUCUUUGUAUCUAUUGAGAUGGUCAUGUAAAUUUUAUCUUUUAUUCUUUGUCAUAAUGCAUCACUUUAAUUGAUUUGUACAUUUUAAACCAUCCUCGUAUCCUGGGAAUGAUGAUGGUCAUGAUGGAAGAUCUUCUAAAUGUGCUAUUGGACUUGUCUUGCUAGUACUUUGUUGAGAUUUUCACAUCUAUGUUCAUCAGAGAUUUUCACAUUUAUGUUCAUCAGAGAAAACUGACCUAUAGUUUUCUAUAGGUCUAUCUUUUUUAAAAUAACAAUACUUAGUUUUGUUGAUUUUUUAAAUAUAUUUUCAUAUUUUUAACUCCAUUUAUUUUUGCUUUAAAUUUUGUAAUUUCUUACUUCUGUUAAUUUGGGGCAUAGUUAUACAUUUUCUAUUUUAAGUUAUAAAAUUAGGUUGUUUAUUUGAGAGCUUUCUCUUUAUAAAUGCAGAUGUUUAUCAUUAUGAAUUUCCUCUUAGUAUUGCUUGUAUUACUUUUUUCACUUUUCUUAUGUUAUUUUUAAUUUCCAGUGGUUCAUUAGUAUGUUGUGAAUUUGCACAUAUUUGUAAAUUUUCCAUCUUGCCUUCUACUGUUGAUUUCUAGUUUCUUUCCAUGUGGUCUGAAAGAUACUAGAUAUGAUUUAAUCUGUUAAGACUGAUAGACAAACCAACAAAUCUUUAGCAAGACUAAAAAAAGUGAAAAGAAUCCAAUAAGUAAAAUCAUAAAUGAAAGAGAUAACUGAUACUACAGAAAUUUUUAAAAAGCAUAAAAAAGGCUGGGGUUGUGGCUCAAGUGGUAGUGCGCUCGCCUGGCAUGCGUGAGGCACUGAUUUCGAUUCUCAGCACCACGUAAAAAUAAAAUAAAGAUAUUGUGUCCACCUAAAACUAAAAAAUAAAUAUUAAAAAAGCAUAACUAACUACUACUAAAAAUUAUACAAAAAAUGGAUAAUAUGGAAAAUGUUGAUAAAUUUUAGAAACAUAAAACCUUACCACAACUAAAUCAUUAUGAAACAGAAAGUCUGAACAGACAUGACUAUUAUGGAGAUUGAAUCAGUAAUCAAAAAUUCCCAACAAAGAAAAGCCCAUAACUAAAUGGCUUCUUUGGUGAAUUUUACCAAACAUGUAAAGAAAUAGUAACACCAUUAUUUUCAAAAUCUUCUGAAAUUUUUAAGAGAAGAGAGGCUUACAAAUUCUUUUUGGAGAUUAGUGUUAUCCUAAUGCCAAAGACAACACAAGAAUAGAAAACUAUAGGUCAGUUUUCUCUGGUAAACAUAGAUAUGAAAAUCUCAACAAAGUACUAGCAAGACAUUUAAAAGAUCUUCUAUCAUGACCAUCAUCAUUCCCAGGAUACGAGGAUGGUUUAAAAUAUACAAAUCAAUUAAAGUGAUGCAUUAUGACAAAGAAUAAAGGAUAAAAAUUACAUGACUAUCUCAAUAGAUGCAAAGAAGAAGGAAUAACAAAGUUGAGUAUUCAUUCAAAAUAUAGAUUUUCAAAUUGCUGUUCUGUCUAACAGCUUAAGCUGUCAUCUCUGUUCUUUCCAGGUGGCUAAACUAUGCUGGAAUUGUCAGAACUCCAACAACAGUGAAACAGAAGACAGUCUUCAGAAAAUUUUGGGCACUAGAUAUAUGAACCAACACCUUCCCUCCUCUGGGAAAAAUUGGAGUUAAGAAAUAUCUUCCUAAUAUUAUGGUGCUGUACUAGGGGGAUGGAUUUUGGUGAGAGCAUGUCCCAUAUCUCUGACCAGCUUUGGUGAAUAAGAUUUAACUGGGGUGCAGGAGCCUUUCAAUUGUUUAAAAGUUUCUGAAUUUCUUAGUAAAGGAAUUUGUCUACAAAUUAUUGCAAAUUAUUAUAGGUGUGUUUGGGUGGUUGGCUUCCGGCUUUUCAAUUUUGCUGAUGUUAGAGCAUAAUCCAUUAUUUUUUUCCCCAUAUUUCUAUUGGUGCAUUAGAUCUGUACAUACUGGUAUAAUUUAUUGCUACAUAUUCACACAUACUAAAUGAGUAUAAUUUGAUUAAUAUCAUUCCUUAGAAUUUCCCAUUUCCUCCUGUCCUUCCAUCUCUGGUCCCUUUCCUCUAUACUACUCAUCUCCUUUUGAUUUUCAUGAAAUCCUCCCACACCUUCUUUUCCUUUUUCUUCUCUGGAUUCCACUAAUGAGAGAAAACACAUUACCCUUAACCUUCUGAGUUUGGCUUAUUGCACCCAACCGUGUUCUCAAGUUCCAUCCAUUCCUGCAAAUGACAUAAUUUCAUUUUUCCUUAUGGCUGAAUAAAACUCUAUUUGGUAUAAAUACCAUAUUUCUUUAUCCAUUCAUGUGUAGAUGGACACCAAGGCUGGUUCCAUAGUUUGGCUAUUGUGAAUUGUGCUAUUAUAAACAUGGGUAGAGCAUAAUACAUUCUUGACAAAAAAAAAAAAUUCAGUGCCUCUUACCAUCAUCACCUUUAGGGAGUUGAAUUAGCUUUUAGUAGUCAAGGUCAAUAAAGGAUUUUUUAAAGUGGCCGAGGUGGGAAGAAGAUGAUGAGGCAGAAAAUGUGCCUCUCCUCCACACCAACACAUCUUUUUCCUCUUCCUCUUGAGUUUUUUUCUUAAAUUGGAAGUUCUCCAUCAAGAGGUCUGUGCUUAUAAUAAAUGUCAUAGAGCAAAUUUGACAAGGAAGAAUACCUUUUUAAUUUACAUUUUGAAUUCAAAGAUCCAGUGAGAGAGCUGGCAUGGUUAUUUGGAGCUGCCUCCAUAUUCCUUUUUUUUUUUAAUAGCU